CCGGCCUCCCGCUUGCCGUGCUC
rnacentral:snRNA from 1 species